CGUAGGUGGCAAGCGUUGUCCGGAUUUAUUGGGUUUAAAGGGUGCGUAGGCGGCCCUGUAAGUCAGUGGUGAAAUACGGCAGCUCAACUGUCGAGGUGCCAUUGAUACUGCGGGGCUUGAGUGUUGAUGAGGCAGGCGGAAUUGACGGUGUAGCGGUGAAAUGCUUAGAUAUCGUCAAGAACACCGAUAGCGAAGGCAGCCUGCCAAGCAGCAACUGACGCUGAGGCACGAAAGUGCGGGGAUCAAACAGGAUUAGAUACCCUGGUAGUCCGCACAGUAAACGAUGAUCACUCGAUGUCGGCGAUACACUGCCGGCGUCUUAGCGAAAGCGAUAAGUGAUCCACCUGGGGAGUACGCCCGCAAGGGUG
rnacentral:rRNA from 1 species